rnacentral:rRNA from 1 species
UGGGGAAUAUUGGACAAUGGGCGAAAGCCUGAUCCAGCCAUGCCGCGUGAGUGACGAAGGCCUUAGGGUUGUAAAGCUCUUUUGGCGGGGAAGAUAAUGACGGUACCCGCAGAAUAAGCUCCGGCUAACUUCGUGCCAGCAGCCGCGGUAAUACGAAGGGAGCUAGCGUUGUUCGGAAUCACUGGGCGUAAAGCGCACGUAGGCGGAUUGUUUAGUCAGGGGUGAAAUCCCGGAGCUCAACUUCGGAACUGCCUUUGAUACUGGCAAUCUCGAGUCCGAUAGAGGUGGGUGGAAUUCCUAGUGUAGAGGUGAAAUUCGUAGAUAUUAGGAAGAACACCGGUGGCGAAGGCGGCCCACUGGAUCGGUACUGACGCUGAGGUGCGAAAGCGUGGGGAGCAAACAGGAUUAGAUACCCCGGUAGUCCCUGAGCGGGCUGGCAAGGCGCAU